UACGGGGGGUGCGAGCGUUGUCCGGAAUCACUGGGCGUAAAGGGCGCGUAGGUGGUUUGAUAAGGGUGUGGUGAAAGUCCGGAGCUCAACUCCGGAUCUGCCGUGCCGACUGUCAAACUCGAGGGCUGUAGAGGCAGACGGAAUUCCGGGUGUAGCGGUGGAAUGCGUAGAGAUCCGGAGGAAGACCGGUGGCGAAGGCGGUCUGCUGGGCAGUUUCUGACACUGAGGCGUGACAGCGUGGGGAGCAAACAGG
rnacentral:rRNA from 1 species